AUCCAAAUGACAAGUCCCAAAUAGGACGAACUACACAUCCUGGAU
rnacentral:hammerhead_ribozyme from 1 species